AACGAACGCUGGCGGCAUGCCUAACACAUGCAAGUCGAACGAGACCUUCGGGUCUAGUGGCGCACGGGUGCGUAACGCGUGGGAACCUGCCCUUAGGUUCGGAAUAACUCCCCGAAAGGGGUGCUAAUACCGGAUAAUGUCUUCGGACCAAAGAUUUAUCGCCUUUGGAUGGGCCCGCGUUGGAUUAGCUAGUUGGUAGGGUAAAAGCCUACCAAGGCGACGAUCCAUAGCUGGUCUGAGAGGAUGAUCAGCCACACUGGGACUGAGACACGGCCCAGACUACUACGGGAGGCAGCAGUGGGGAAUAUUGGACAAUGGGCGUAAGCCUGAUCCAGCAAUGCCGCGUGAGUGAUGAAGGCCUUAGGGUUGUAAAGCUCUUUUACCCGGGAUGAUAAUGACAGUACCGGGAGAAUAAGCUCCGGCUAACUCCGUG
rnacentral:rRNA from 1 species